rnacentral:rRNA from 1 species
AGUGAACGCUGGCGGUAGGCCUAACACAUGCAAGUCGAACGGCAGCACAGUAAGAGCUUGCUCUUACGGGUGGCGAGUGGCGGACGGGUGAGGAAUACAUCGGAAUCUACUUUUUCGGGGGGGAUAACGCAGGGAAACUUAGGCUAAUACCGCAUACGACCUACGGGUGAAAGCAGGGGAGCUUCGGACCUUGCGCGAUUGAAUGAGCCGAAGUCGGCUUAGCUGGUUGGCGGGGUAAGGGCCGACCAAGGCGACGACGCGAAGCUGGUCUGAGGGGAUGCUCAGCCCCCCUGGAGCUGAGGCGCGGUCGCGCCUCCUCCGGGGGGAGGCAGUGGGAAUGUUGGACAAUGGGCGCAGGCCUGAUCCAGCCAUACCGCGUGGGUGAAGAAGGCCUUCGGGUUGUAAAGCCCUUUUGUUGGGAAAGAAAAGCAGCAGGUUAAUACCCCGCUGUUCUGACGGUACCCAGAGAAUAAGCACCGGCUAACUUCGUG